rnacentral:rRNA from 1 species
GUUGACCUCGGAUCAGGUAGGACUACCCGCUGAAU